rnacentral:rRNA from 1 species
UUCCUUGAACCGCAUGGUUCAAGGAUGAAAGACGGUUUCGGCUGUCACUUACAGAUGGACCCGCGGCGCAUUAGCUAGUUGGUGGGGUAAUGGCUCACCAAGGCGACGAUGCGUAGCCGACCUGAGAGGGUGAUCGGCCACACUGGGACUGAGACACGGCCCAGACUCCUACGGGAGGCAGCAGUAGGGAAUCUUCCGCAAUGGACGAAAGUCUGACGGAGCAACGCCGCGUGAGUGAUGAAGGUUUUCGGAUCGUAAAGCUCUGUUGUUAGGGAAGAACAAGUGCGAGAGUAACUGCUCGCACCUUGACGGUACCUAACCAGAAAGCCACGGCUAACUACGUGCCAGCAGCCGCGGUAAUACGUAGGUGGCAAGCGUUGUCCGGAAUUAUUGGGCGUAAAGGGCUCGCAGGCGGUUUCUUAAGUCUGAUGUGAAAGCCCCCGGCUCAACCGGGGAGGGUCAUUGGAAACUGGGAAACUUGAGUGCAGAAGAGGAGAGUGGAAUUCCACGUGUAGCGGUGAAAUGCGUAGAGAUGUGGAGGAACACCAGUGGCGAAGGCGACUCUCUGGUCUGUACUGACGCU